UUACCUUUCUCAGCCUUUUGGCUAAGAUUCAGUGUAGUUUAUCUUCUUGUCAGUUCAAAUAUCUGAUACGUGGGCCAUUGGCCCACCAUCAUGACCAUUGUCAUUAUCAUCUAAGCCCUGUCCCAGCUAAUUGGGGUUGGCCAACAUUAUCACCUGGGCCAUUGGCCCACAUGAUAUUACAUUAAUUCUUGUGGGAGAAGGCCCG